CAAGGCACACCAGGCCUGCCUCCUGGAUUUGUCUAGCAGUAAAAACAGUUAUUGACCAGCUAGAUUGUGAGCUCUUUGAGGCAGAAACUGUAUGUAGCUAUGGUCUGUACCUAUCCUGAUGGAGAAAUUUGGCUCAGGCCUUCCUCCAAGCCUCUGAGUCAAGGACCUAGCUUAGAAACACAGAUGGUGGAAGAUGAAACUGAGACAACAAGUGAAGAAUUGCCUCCUCAUCUGCGGGAAGAGCCUCCUGAAGAUGCCAGCAAGGACCAUCCACAGCAGCAGGCAGGGGUGAUCUGGAGAGUGACGGGCGGCCUGUUUAGUAUCACCCGGGGAGCCGUGGGGGCCACGUUGGGAGGAGUUGCCUGGGUGGGCAGCAAGAGCCUGGAGCUCACCAAAACAGCUGUGACCAGCGUCCCCGCUGCUGGCGUCGGACUGGUGAAGGGCGGCGUCUCAGCAGUGACCGGCGGCGUCGGAGCCGUGGGCAGUGCGGUCGCCAGCAAAGUCCCUUUCACCACAAAGAAGAAGGACAAGGCUGACUAAUCCCUGUUGCAGCUCCCUUCCAGAAGAUCAACCUGCCCAUACUCUCCCCCUACACAGCACCUCUUUGAGUUGGAACCAGCCGCUUCAGGGAGGGUCAAGCACCCAAGCAGAUUCUGGCUGCAGCCUGCUCAGCACCGCCUGCCUGGCUCAGAGCUCACAGAGCCGCUGUCAAUGCCUUUCACUCCCAUCACCUACUGGGAACCAUCUUUACUCCGAGGGCUUUAAAGGCGCCGUUGUCACUGUCUGGCAGUUUCUUUCCUCCUUUCUUGGUCUUGGCCUGUCUCACAAGCUGCUCGCAAUCACGUACUCCCUGGCUGAAUUGCACCCUUCAGAGAAGGAACCCUCAAGCUCAGCAGAGCAGCUCCGGGGAUGAUGCCACACAAGAGUAUGAUAUGUCCUGGGCCAUCAACUUCUGCACAGAUUUUCUUGGUGAGAGGCAGGAGGAUGAAAGCUGCUCUGUGUUCCCAUUUGGGGAAGGAGCUGACAGUGGCAUCUGCCAGGCCUCUGUGAUAUUGCAGCACAGGUAGUGAUGUUCCAGAGAGACAAACCAGGCCUUUGAGUUUGACCCUUGAAGUCUUUGCAGUGUCCCCAUCUGCAACAGGGGCAUUUUGACUCUAGGCCACACUCUCACUCCACAGACGUCACUAGUAACCAUGAGCAAGCAUGGUCCCAAAUGCCACCCAAGUUCUGCUGCAGGGAGGGAGGGGAGGCAGAGAGCAUUGCUCUCCCCAUGACUUGGCACCCCGGGAGCGGUGGCCUGGGUGUGAGCGGGCUGCACCGUGUUGGAGAACACUUCCCCAAAGGGCUGAGCGUGCUCCAGCGGCAGCCAGCCUGCACGGGGCACCAGCAACUCCUCCUCCACACGCUGUUCCUGGGGCUCCAGCCUGCCUCCUGUAAAUGACCAUGUUGCACUAAAUAGCCCACCCACACUCGUAGUGCCGCAGAAACCCAGACACCUGCAUCCAUCUGGGAGUCACAGCCAUCCUCAGCCUGGCCCAUGAUGCUCAAGGGGCCGUGUGGCAUCGCACACGCACACACACGCACACACAACACACACACUCACUCCAAGGUCCCCUGUAAUUCUUGGGAUGAGGAAAGCCACAGGCUCCACCAUUAACUCUGCUGCUCCUGGCUUUGGCAGGUGAUCAGCCUAGGUCGUUAGGUGUUGGAUGCAUAGGCAGGUGAAGCAGUGCUUGUGCUGUAUUUUAUAAAUAUGCAUCUAUGUUAGCGUGUGUGUAUGUAUCAGUCCACAGGCAUGUCUUCAGCCAGGUAAACAAAACUGUGCCGCUGCCGCAGAGGAGUUUACAUAGUCAUCUUCGGCACUUCCAGCAUAUAGUUUUUAUAUAGGGUCCUGGUCAAAACAAAAAUCAUGUUUUAGAGGAUGUUUUCCCCUCUGUUGCUCAAGAACGUAGUUUAUUGAAACCAAAGGAAUGUGAAAAAUCCCCUUUCUCCCGUCUAUGCGGUUUGUUUACUUUCUGCCCUAUCUUUUGGACAUUGAAGCCAACUUCCUUGAUCUUCAUUUCCCGUUGGAGGUCGUUGCGCUUCCUGGCUGCUUUCUUAUGCUUGGGACUCAGGCAUCAGGGAAUAUUUAAGUACAACCCUCCCCGCCACCAUUUUUGCUGAAUGUUCUUGGGCUUGUGAAGCAGUUUUCAUUCUGACCUUUAUUAAAUCCACAUUUUGGACCUGACAUAAGUUGCUGUGUCCCUGUGCUAGUCACACUGGUGUUAGUCUCUCUCCGUAUCCUUUGCUGGGUAGUCCCUGCUGUUUGCAGUGGCAAGAAGUUGCUGAUCUCCACAGUGUGUUACUCUUGAUAGCAUGAGAGUGGUUUAACCUACAUCUUUGUUUCUGAAGAGGAAACAGCAUUUUGUAUGUGUGUGCAUUUCCUCACUUUGUCUCUUUUGUUCUGGUGAAGGCCAAGUUGACCCAAACUUGUCGGUUUUGUCUCUGAAGGCAGCAGCUUCACAGAAAGAUCAGGCCUUGAUGCGUGCCUGCACUUCACUGGGAUGCUUGUGGCAGUUGGCAAGGCCAGAAGAAGUCUUGUCUGUUCUUCCUUUGUCUCAAACGCCUUGCAAAGCAGGAGGACAGUUUGCACUGCGUGAAUCUCCGCUCACUGCUCUCCCUGAGCGCAUCUUGUUUCUUAUUCCAGUCACAGACUGCUCCUGAAGCCAGCUCUAACCCCAAAGCUAAAAGCUGCUUGUGCGUAACUAGCUGUGCUGUCACCAGCCCUCUUAGAAAGACAGUAUCUUACCAGUUGGGACAGAAGACAGUCUUCUUCCUAACUGCCUCUCCCAGGCCUUGGACAGGAGAAAGUAGUGUCUAAGGGGCUUUGCUUCACUGGCCACCCCUGGGCAGGUGAUGGGAAGCUCGUCAUGCUUUUGGCUAACUAGUAUCCCACACAGGCUCUUGCUGGGGGAGGCAAUACAUCCUUCCCACGCUUUUGUGUGCAGGCACUGUGUGUGCAGAGCAGGCAUGGCAAAUGGGAUAAAGGUGCAUUAAGGAAGGCCAUCGGGGCCCUGAGGGUUUCCCAUCUUUUUAUUUCUGCUCUUCUGUGCGUCCUUGCAGUAAAGGGAGUAAAGCUCUCCAUUUGUCUGGAACUGCCAUUUCCUUGCGGGAUAGCCUGGAGAAGGCGAGAAGAGGUGUGAGGGGAACUCACAGCCUAAAUCGCUGUUCUUACAGCCCAGCUAACGGAGAACUCAUGGACCAUAAAUAGCAAAAAAGAUCAAAUUAGCAGGCAAGGGUAGAAGAUUAAAUCUACUCCAAAACCAGGGCCUCACACUGCUUAACAGGCAUUCAGGAAUACAUAACUAUGCAGGACUCAAAGGCCUCUGGAAAGUAUGUCUCUGUUAGCGUGCUAGGCCUGCUUGAUUCAUCCAGGUGACCCAGCCCCAGGCUGCUUUUCUGGGCACUCUCGUGCCAGAGCAGAAGGAAAACUGGGUCGGUGUUCCCAGUCUAAGAGCAAAGACACUUCCUGACAGCUUUGGUUGCAGGACGGUAGGAUCUGGAUUGGAUGGGGAAGCUGUUGGCUCAUGGUGGAUGCCCCAUCUUUCCUCCUCCCCCACUACAGAGACUCCAGCCAGCUCAGAGUCCACCUGGGCCACUGGUGCAGCCCUUCUUCCACCACCCCUUCGUGGUAAGAAGGGCAAAAACUACAUUGUGCGUAAAUCCUGUUGCUACUAGAUGAGAGGGCAUGGUACAAAAUAGGGGGGGGGCAGCACCAAGGUGGAGGGAAGGAUUGAAGGGAGUUAGUACAAGGAAGAUCACCAGUUUUCAGGUGACAGUGAGAAGAUGAGGAGGGACUGGUGACAGGAGGAGGCAAGGAGUGGGGGAGCAAGAAAAGGGUGAGCGUGGAGGGAAUUUGUUUCUUAGGACAGGCUCUGAAUCAGAGGAUGAACACAAUUGAGUUUGUCCUAGGGAAGAGCACAGAAAGGGAAGUGGAUGAAUGUGGGUUUUAGUGUGUGGUGGUGGUCCACACCUGGCUGGUGCCCUGCAUCCAUAGUAGUUAGUGAUGAUUGCUGGGGGUUUCCAUUUAGAUAGAUCAGUGUGCUCAACGGAUGGUCCAAGCGCCAGAUCAGCUCCCUCCUUACCACCCCCCCUUCCCAGAUGUCCCCCAGGCUUUUGUCAUGAUCUCCCCGUGGUGGGGCUGGCUUUCCCCCAUGGUGGAGGUGGGAUGUGGCCCUACAUGCAGCCCUGUGCCCUGCCGCGGCUGGACGUUCCCCGUGCGCAAGGAACGUGCCCCGGCUGAGAGGAGAGCCCACAGGCACAUCCUCUCCUCCCUUUUCCCUUUGCUCAUCUCAUUAUCCUUCACUUUUGUUUUUUAUCCCUCCCGUAGCUUUCUGUCUUGCCCCUGGAUAGAGCUCUCCAAAGCUCUUGCCGAGACCUUCAUUAAACAUCCACACUCAUAUUGGCUGGGAGGGCAGAGAGGGUGAUUCUGCCCCCCCAGCUCCCCUGGCUGGUAGAGAAGUGCAUGUCUUCCACCCCUCUCUGUCCCCUUGUGUUUUGUGUGUGGAAACUCUUAACCCACUUCUUUUCCUCUGGGUUCCCUCGUUGGCUCUUGUCCCUGUGGGUGGGUUAUUUCUGUCUCCAUUGCAAAGUCAUCCUUGUAAAAACAACAGCGUGAGUGGGAAUGUGGAGAUGGCUAGAGAGAGCCACAAGCUGCUGGGACAGAUGCCGGGGCCUGACUCUGCUUCUCUAGGAGCUGAGGAGCCCUUUGGCAACCCAAAACCGUCACUGCGGCCAUGCGGUCCCAGGCUCCAGAGAACACUUUUGUUCUUUAUCAUUUCAUUGUCUGUAAUUGGUUUCCUACUGAAUUUGUUUGCUUGGUUUGUUUUGCAGUGUGUUUCUGGGAAUAUUCUGCAUCUCUGUAUUUUAAUUACAGUAAAAUUUGAGGA